CUCAAAUUUUUUUGAAUGCUGACAGGCAAACAACAGCUGCUGAGAGACAUAAGAUUACAAGAAAACUACUAAAAUAUGCCAACUUAAAUAUUUUUAAAAUGCCUUAACUUUAAAACAUAAGUAAAAAAUAUAUUUGUAAAAUGAAACUUAAAAGAUGCAUUGCUUUGGAGAAGUGGUUUUCCUUUUGUUUCCACAGGAAACAAGAAGUGGUGGAUUCCUUCCAGAUUAAGAUGAACCAAAUUAGAUCAAGGGAGACCUCCUGAACCUUGACAGGACCAAUUACUUCAAAGAAGAUAUGGGCAUCAAAGAAACUCAUUAUGGAGUUUACUGUCAACAUGGCAAAGCUAUCCAUUUGGGCAAGAAACUGCUCUGGCCUGCACUGCUUGACAGUAUGCUGAAUAAACUGGACAUGCAGCACCCACAGGAAAAUGACCACUAAACAUUGCCAAAACGUGGUGGGGUGGCCCUUCAGGUUCCUGCUUCACAGAAGAAACUGCCAGACAUUCUGCAGGACACAGAGCAAAGUGGCUGAUGAACUUUGCCAAUAGAGGUGGGACAGUCCCUCAGAUUUCCUGCUUCACUGAAAAGUCUGCCAGAUGCUCAAGGCCUAUAGGCUAAAGAUGGAUGCUCCAGUGUCACAGAAGGACUUUGGGUGGCUGUCCAGGCAGACAGAAGGCUCUGUCAUCUCUAGAGUUUGGGAAGUUGUUUGCAAUGUAUUUCCUGUUUACUCCAGUAAUAUUACAUACUUCUGGAGUGUUUGAUGGAGUUGAAGACUGGAUAAUUAUAAUUAUAGUUUCUUUAGUUUUGAUAAAUGAUAAAUUAGAUAUGAAACUGUAGACUCACAAAGAUAGGGGAAAUGAUAGUGUUUUCUCUGAUUUUGUGAAAUACAAAUAGACCAAAUAUUGUUAACUGUA